GUCUACAGCCAUACCAACUUGAACAUGGCUAAUCUUGUCUGAUCUCAUAAGCUAAGCAGGGUCGGGUCUGGUUAGUAUUUGGUUGAAAGACAGAUCUUCAAAAGAGACUGCUCAGAGACA
rnacentral:rRNA from 1 species